UACGAAGGGGGCUAGCGUUGCUCGGAAUCACUGGGCGUAAAGCGCACGUAGGCGGCUUUUAAGUUCAGGGGUGAAAUCCUGGAGCUCAACUCCAGAACUGCCUUUGAUACUGAGAGCUUGAGUCCGGGAGAGGUGAGUGGAACUGCGAGUGUAGAGGUGAAAUUCGUAGAUAUUCGCAAGAACACCAGUGGCGAAGGCGGCUCACUGGCCCGGUACUGACGGCUGAGGUGCGAAAGCGUGGGAGCAAC
rnacentral:rRNA from 1 species